UACGUAGGGUGCGAGCGUUGUCCGGAAUUAUUGGGCGUAAAGAGCUCGUAGGUGGUUCGGUAAGUCGGAUGUGAAAUCUCCAGGCUCAACCUGGAGGGGUCAUUCGAUACUGCCGUGACUAGAGGUCGGUAGGGGAGUGUGGAAUUCCUGGUGGAGCGGUGAAAUGCGCAGAUAUCAGGAGGAACACCCGUAGCGAAGGCGGCACUCUGGGCCGAUACUGACACUGAGACGCGAAAGCGUGGGGAGCGAACAGG
rnacentral:rRNA from 1 species